rnacentral:SRP_RNA from 1 species
GGAAGCUAGUUAGAGGCAGUUAGGAUUAUUAAUCUAGGUCAGGACUGAAAAGUAGCAGCCAUAAUUUUUUUAAAUUGGGUUUUAGCUAGCUUCCACU